rnacentral:rRNA from 1 species
AUUGAGCGCUGGCGGCAGGCCUAACACAUGCAAGUCGAGCGGUUGACGGGAGCUUGCUCCCUGAUUCAGCGGCGGACGGGUGAGUAAUGCCUAUGAAUCUGCCUAUUAGUGGGGGACAACGUUUCGAAAGGAACGCUAAUACCGCAUACGUCCUACGGGAGAAAGCAGGGGACCUUCGGGCCUUGCGCUAAUCGAUGAGCCUAGGUCGGAUUAGCUUGUUGGUGAGGUAAUGGCUCACCAAGGCGACGAUCCGUAACUGGUCUGAGAGGAUGAUCAGUCACACUGGAACUGAGACACGGUCCAGACUCCUACGGGAGGCAGCAGUGGGGAAUAUUGGACAAUGGGCGAAAGCCUGAUCCAGCCAUGCCGCGUGUGUGAAGAAGGUCUUCGGAUUGUAAAGCACUUUAAGUUGGGAGGAAGGGUUGUAGAUUAAUACUCUGCAAUUUUGACGUUACCGACAGAAUAAGCACCGGCUAACUCUGUGCCAGCCGCCGCGGUAA